rnacentral:rRNA from 1 species
GACGAACGCUGGCGGCGUGCCUAAUACAUGCAAGUAGAACGCUGAAGCUUGGUGCUUGCACCGAGCGGCUGAGUUGCGAACGGGUGAGUAACGCGUAGGUAACCUGCCUGGUAGCGGGGGAUAACUAUUGGAAACGAUAGCUAAUACCGCAUAAGAGUAGAUGUUGCAUGACAUUUGCUUAAAAGGUGCAAUUGCAUCACUACCAGAUGGACCUGCGUUGUAUUAGCUAGUUGGUGAGGUAACGGCUCACCAAGGCAACGAUACAUAGCCGACCUGAGAGGGUGAUCGGCCACACUGGGACUGAGACACGGCCCAGACUCCUACGGGAGGCAGCAGUAGGGAAUCUUCGGCAAUGGACGGAAGUCUGACCGAGCAACGCCGCGGGAGUGAAGAAGGUUUUCGGAUCGUAAGGCUCUGUUGUAAGAGAAGAACGAGUGUGAGAGUGGAAAGUUCACACUGUGACGGUAUCUUACCAGAAAGGGACGGCUAACUACGUG